rnacentral:rRNA from 1 species
GGCUCAAGAUGCCCUCCUCAUGUUGUCGACGCUGUCCAGAGGAGCUUGCUCUUCUUGAGAUGAGUUGCGAACGGGUGAGUAACGCGUAGGUAACCUGCCUUGUAGCGGGGGAUAACUAUUGGAAACGAUAGCUAAUACCGCAUAACAAUGGAUGACACAUGUCAUUUAUUUGAAAGGGGCAAUUGCUCCACUACAAGAUGGACCUGCGUUGUAUUAGCUAGUAGGUGAGGUAAUGGCUCACCUAGGCGACGAUACAUAGCCGACCUGAGAGGGUGAUCGGCCACACUGGGACUGAGACACGGCCCAGACUCCUACGGGAGGCAGCAGUAGGGAAUCUUCGGCAAUGGGGGCAACCCUGACCGAGCAACGCCGCGUGAGUGAAGAAGGUUUUCGGAUCGUAAAGCUCUGUUGUAAGUCAAGAACGGGUGUGAGAGUGGAAAGUUCACACUGUGACGGUAGCUUACCAGAAAGGGACGGCUAACUACGUGCCAGCAGCCGCGGUAAUACGUAGGUCCCGAGCGUUGUCCGGAUUUAUUGGGCGUAAAGCGAGCGCAGGCGGUUUGAUAAGUCUGAAGUUAAAGGCUGUGGCUCAACCAUAGUUCGCUUUGGAAACUGUCAAACUUGAGUGCAGAAGGGGAGAGUGGAAUUCCAUGUGUAGCGGUGAAAUGCGUAGAUAUAUGGAGGAACACCGGUGGCGAAAGCGGCUCUCUGGUCUGUAACUGACGCUGAGGCUCGAAAGCGUGGGGAGCGACAGGAUUAGAUACCCUGGUAGUCCACGCCGUAAACGAUGAGUGCUAGGUGUUGGAUCCUUUCCGGGAUUCAGUGCCGCAGCUAACGCAUUAAGCACUCCGCCUGGGGAGUACGACCGCAAGGUUGAAACUCAAAGGAAUUGACGGGGGCCCGCACAAGCGGUGGAGCAUGUGGUUUAAUUCGAAGCAACGCGAAGAACCUUACCAGGUCUUGACAUCCCGAUGCUAUUUCUAGAGAUAGAAAGUUACUUCGGUACAUCGGUGACAGGUGGUGCAUGGUUGUCGUCAGCUCGUGUCGUGAGAUGUUGGGUUAAGUCCCGCAACGAGCGCAACCCCUAUUGUUAGUUGCCAUCAUUCAGUUGGGCACUCUAGCGAGACUGCCGGUAAUAAACCGGAGGAAGGUGGGGAUGACGUCAAAUCAUCAUGCCCCUUAUGACCUGGGCUACACACGUGCUACAAUGGUUGGUACAACGAGUUGCGAGUCGGUGACGGCGAGCUAAUCUCUUAAAGCCAAUCUCAGUUCGGAUUGUAGGCUGCAACUCGCCUACAUGAAGUCGGAAUCGCUAGUAAUCGCGGAUCAGCACGCCGCGGUGAAUACGUUCCCGGGCCUUGUACACACCGCCCGUCACACCACGAGAGUUUGUAACACCCGAAGUCGGUGAGGUAACCUUUUGGUAGCCAGCCGCCUAAGGUGGGACAGAUGACUGCUAGAAGACGCAUACCUAGUAAGCA